UAGGGAAUCUUCGGCAAUGGGGGCAACCCUGACCGAGCAACGCCGCGUGAGUGAAGAAGGUUUUCGGAUCGUAAAGCUCUGUUGUAAGAGAAGAACGUGUGUGAGAGUGGAAAGUUCACACAGUGACGGUAACUUACCAGAAAGGGACGGCUAACUACGUGCCAGCAGCCGCGGUAAUACGUAGGUCCCGAGCGUUGUCCGGAUUUAUUGGGCGUAAAGCGAGCGCAGGCGGUUUAAUAAGUCUGAAGUUAAAGGCAGUGGCUUAACCAUUGUUCGCUUUGGAAACUGUUAAACUUGAGUGCAGAAGGGGAGAGUGGAAUUCCAUGUUUAGCGGUGAAAUGCGUAGAUAUAUGGAGGAACACCGGUGGCGAAAGCGGCUCUCUGGUCUGUAACUGACGCUGAGGCUCGAAAGCGUGGGGAGCAAACAGG
rnacentral:rRNA from 1 species